rnacentral:rRNA from 1 species
UUGAACGCUGGCGGCAGGCCUAACACCUGCCAGUCGAGCGGAUGAAGGGAGCUUGCUCCUGGAUUCAGCGGCGGACGGGUGAGUAAUGCCUAGGAAUCUGCCUGGUAGUGGGGGAUAACGUCCGGAAACGGGCGCUAAUACCGCAUACGUCCUGAGGGAGAAAGUGGGGGAUCUUCGGACCUCACGCUAUCAGAUGAGCCUAGGUCGGAUUAGCUAGUUGGUGGGGUAAAGGCCUACCAAGGCGACGAUCCGUAACUGGUCUGAGAGGAUGAUCAGUCACACUGGAACUGAGACACGGUCCAGACUCCUACGGGAGGCAGCAGUGGGGAAUAUUGGACAAUGGGCGAAAGCCUGAUCCAGCCAUGCCGCGUGUGAAGAAGGUCUUCGGAUUGUAAAGCACUUUAAGUUGGGAGGAAGGGCAGUAAGUUAAUACCUUGCUGUUUUGACGUUACCAACAGAAUAAGCACCGGCUAACUUCGUG